rnacentral:rRNA from 1 species
CAGUCGCCGCGGGAAUACGUAGGUCCCGAGCGUUAAUCGGAAUUACUGGGCGUAAAGCGUGCGCAGGCGGCUUUGCAAGACAGAUGUGAAAUCCCCGGGCUCAACCUGGGAACUGCAUUUGUGACUGCAAGGCUAGAGUGCGGCAGAGGGAGAUGGAAUGCCGCGUGUAGCAGUGAAAUGCGUAGAUAUGCGGAGGAACACCGAUGGCGAAGGCAAUCUCCUGGGCCUGCACUGACGCUCAUGCACGAAAGCGUGGGGAGCAAACAGGAUUAGAUACCCCAGUAGUCCCUGUCUCUUAUAC